GACGAACGCUGGCGGCGUGCUUAACACAUGCAAGUCGAACGGAAAGGCCUCUUUCGGGGGGUACUCGAGUGGCGAACGGGUGAGUAACACGUGAGUAACCUGCCCUUGACUUUGGGAUAACUUCAGGAAACUGGGGCUAAUACCGGAUAGGAGCUCCUGCUGCAUGGUGGGGGUUGGAAAGUUUCGGCGGUUGGGGAUGGACUCGCGGCUUAUCAGCUUGUUGGUGGGGUAGUGGCUUACCAAGGCUUUGACGGGUAGCCGGCCUGAGAGGGUGACCGGCCACAUUGGGACUGAGAUACGGCCCAGACUCCUACGGGAGGCAGCAGUGGGGAAUAUUGCACAAUGGGUGGAAGCCUGAUGCAGCAACGCCGUGCGCGGGAUGACGGCCUUCGGGUUGUAAACCGCUUUCGCUCAUGACGAAGCUUUGUGUGACGGUAGUGGGUAAAGAAGCACCGGCUAACUACGUG
rnacentral:rRNA from 1 species